rnacentral:rRNA from 1 species
UUAAUUUAAGAGCACAUAAUGGAUGCCUUGCUUUUGAAAGCCGAAGAAGGACGUACUAGGCUGCGAUAAGUCUCGGGAAGGCGCCAAGAGCCGUUAUUAUCCGGGAAUUUCCGAAUGGGGCAACCCUUCUACCUGAUGGUAGAAACUCCUAUCUGAAUCUAUAGGAUAGAGAGAGGUAAGUCAGCGAACUGAAACAUCUAAUGUAACUGGAGUAAAAUAAAUCAAAAGAGAUUCCGUAAGUAGUGGCGAGCGAAAGCGGAAUAGCCCAAACCUCGAUGCAAAUCGAGGGGUUGUAGGACCUACAUAUACAAGUUUUAAAAAAAUGAUUGGUAGCAGAACAGUCUGGAAAGACUGACUAUAAAAAGUGAUAGUCUUGUAUGCAAAAUCGAUCAAUCUUGUGUAGGAUUCCUGAGUACCACGAGACACGUGAAAUCUUGUGGGAAUCUGGGAAGACCACUUUCCAAGGCUAAAUACUUUCAAAAGCGAUAGUGAACAAGUACCGUGAGGGAAAGGUUAAAAGAACCCCGGUGAGGGGAGUGAAAUAGAACCUGAAAUUAUGUUGCUUACAAGACGAGUAAAGCCUCGCUUUAUGCGGGGUAAUACUGUGCCUAUUGAAGAAUGAGCCGGCGAGUAGUUUUAGUCUGUUUAAAGUUAAGUCACUAAGUGACGGAGCUGUAGCGAAAGCGAGUGUGAAUAGCGCGAUCAAAAAUAGAUUAAAUCUGACCCGAAACUGAGUGAGCCACCCAUGGCCAGGACGAACCCGUUGUAAAAGACGGGGGAGG